rnacentral:rRNA from 1 species
UACGUAGGUCCCGAGCGUUGUCCGGAUUUAUUGGGCGUAAGGCGAGCGCAGGUGGCUUAUUAAGUCUGGUGUAAAAGGCAGUGGCUCAACCAUUGUAUGCAUUGGAAACUGGUAGACUUGAGUGCAGGAGAGGAGAGUGGAAUUCCAUGUGUAGCGGUGAAAUGCGUAGAUAUAUGGAGGAACACCGGUGGCGAAAGCGGCUCUCUGGCCUGUAACUGACACUGAGGCUCGAAAGCGUGGGGGGCAAACAGG